rnacentral:lncRNA from 1 species
CGGAAGAGACAGGGUUCAAUGUCGAGGUUCUAAGACCUAACAAAAGAACGGAGAUGGCUAAGAUCUAUCGUUCGAUGAACACAAGCGAUGUAAUGAUCGGUGUGCAUGGAGCUGCGAUGACUCACUUCCUCUUCUUGAAACCUAAAAGUGUUUUCAUUCAGAUAGUUCCCUUAGGGACUGAUUGGGCGGCUGAUACGUACUAUGGCGAGCCAGCAAAGAAGCUAGGGUUGAAGUAUAUUGGUUACAAGAUUAUGCCGCAAGAAAGCUCUUUAUACUAUGAGUAUGGUAAAGAUGAUCCUGUCAUCAGAGAUCCGGAUAGUCUCAAUGAUAAAGGAUGGGAAUAUACUAAGAAAAUCUAUCUACAAGGACAGAACGUGAAGCUUGACUUGAGAAGAUUUAGAGAGACGUUAGCUCGUUCUUAUGAUUUCUCUAUUAGACGGAGAGUUAGAGAGGAAGUUCCUCAUUUGUUUGUUUCAUAGAGAAGAGUAAGAAGAGAGUAUAACAUUUUUUUGUAAAGUUUUUUAAAAACAUUUUAUUCAUUUUUUUAAAAGUAUUUGGUGUAUGACAUAAUUAAUUUUUCACUCAUCAGCAUAUAGUUUAACUUCAUUCUAGCAAUUAGUCAAAAUAUGAAAUGCAAUAAAGCCUAUAAGGGUUAUCUUAUACUCCCUGAUCCAUGUUUAGAAAGAAAAAAACCGGUUUUAAAAAGCUACACUUUUACAUUUUUAUGUAUUUUUAUCAGGAAAUGAUAGUAAAUUGUAAACUUCGAAGAAAUUAAUUGUGAUUACUGAAUAUUAAUUGAAUAAAAAUUGAAAAAAAAUAAUUAAUCAAAAAAGUAAAAAAAUAAUAAUGCAUUAUAAUUAAAAUUAUUUUUUUUAUCUUAAUAUGUGUGAAAACUCUAAAACAUCUAGUAAAGAAAGCGAAUACUAUUUAUUUGUAAAACAGAUAAAAAUGUUCACCAUUUAAUAAUCAAAACAGAGUAAGCUCUGAUACUAAUCUGAGAGAUGAGUGCCGACGACCUGCUUAAUGGAACUAAUGGGUUUCUAGCUUGAGCUAAAUGUUGUUUCAAUUUUUCAGUAUUAUUUGAUCUAGAGAUUAGAGGUACCAGUCAAGCUCAAUAAGGCAGCCUAUAACUCAAGAGUAUCAUCUUAUAUCAAUGCAUGAUGCAAAUAUUCAAUAAAGCAAAAUUAUUAUAUUUUGAUUUUUUUCAAAAAAAAUUGAAGGUUAUCCUACGAAAUUAAGUUUUUCGAUAAAUACUUUAUAUAAUUAAAUUUACAUUCUUUAGUGGUGUUUAAAAAUUUGUAACCACAUUAUAUAUUUGUAUUAAUGUAUUCUAAACUCUCUGUCAUGGUACAUUAGUAUUGUCUCUCAUUUUUAACUGUUAAUUUAAUAAAACUUCAUAUAUUACCUAAAUCAGUGGACUAACCACUAUGAAAUCUUUAUUCUCUAGAGAAACAAACACAAAAAAUUCCAAACCUUUUUGAAAAUCAUCAUAUGCCAGUGCAGGAUGCAACUAUGCAAUAAAGCAAGAUUUUUGUAUUUUUGAAGUUUUCUCAAAUCUGAAGAUUAACCCCUACGAAAUUAAGUUUUUUGGUAAUUAAAUGCUCUUUAUAUUGAUGUUUACACUAUUUAGUAUUGCUUAAAAUUUUCUAGAAACAAUCUACAUUUGUAAUAAUGUAUGCUAAAUCUCUUUCAUGGUACAUAGACAUCGCUCUAAUUUUUUUAACAACUAAUUUAAUAAAAUUUUAUAUACUGCUUAAAUCAUUGGACUAAUCACUAUAAAUAUAUAUUCUCUAGAGAAAUGAACACAAAAAGAUAUUUAAAACUUUUUUGAAAAUCAUCCUAUGUCAGUGCAGGAUGCAAUUAUGCAAUAAAACAAGAUUGUCAUAAUUUUUGAAUAUUUCUCAAAAUCUGAAGGUUAAAAACACCCAUAUGAAAUUUGAUUUUCGGUGAAUGCUCUACAUAAUGAAACUUACACUCUGUUUAGUGGUGUUUAAAAAUUUCUAACCACAUUUUAAAUUUGUCUUAAUGUAUUAUAAACUCUCUUUCAUGGUAUAUGAGUAUUGUCAUUAUUUUUUAAUUUUUAAUUUACUAAAACUUCAUAUAUUGUCUAAAUCAGUGGACUAACAUGAAAUCUCUAUUCUCUAGAGAAACAGACACAAUAAAGAUUCCAAACUUCUUUGAACAUCAUCCGAAGUCACUUUAAGAUGCAAUUAUUCCAUAAAGCAAGAUUUUCAUAUUUUUGAUUUUCUAUCAAAAUCUGAAGGUUAACCACCACCUACGAAAUUUAGUUUUUUUGGCAAGUGCUCUAUAUAUUAAAGUUUACACUCUUUAGUGUUGUUUAAAAGUUUCUAACCAUAUUAUAAAUUAAUGUAUGCUAAACUAUCUUUCAUGGUACAGAGACAUCGCUUCAAUAUUUUAACAACUAAUUUAAUAGAACCUUUUAUACUCCUUAAAUUAGUAGAAUAAAUGUUAUAAAGUAUCUGUUCUCUAGAGAAACGGACACAAAAAAAUAUUUCAAACCUUUUUGACCAUAGUCAUUUGUCAGUGCAGAAUGAAAAUAUGCAAUAAAAUAAGUUUUUCUUAUUUUUUAGUUUUUUCUCAAAAUCUAAAAGUUAAAACCCCUACGAAAUUGGGUUGUCGGUCAAUGCUCUAUAAAAUGAAAUUUACACACUUUAUUGUUGUUUACAAAUUUCUAACCACAUUCUACAUUUGUCUUAAUAUAUUCCAAACACUUUUUUAUGGUACAUGAGCAUCCUCUCUAAUUUUUAAACAAUUAAUUUAGUAAAACUUCACAUAUUGCCUAAAUUAGUGGACUAACCACUAUGAAAUGUAUAUUUUCUAAAGAAACAAACACAAAAAGAUUCCAAACAUCUUUGACUAUCGCCCUAUUUCAGUGCAAGAUACAACUAUGCAAUAAAAAAAUAUUGUCAUAUUUUUAUUUUUUUCUCAAAAUCUGAAGGUUAACACCUACAAAAUUCAGUUUUUUCGGUAAAUGCUCUAUAUAUUGAAGUUUACACCCUUUAGAGUUGCUUAAAAUUUUAUAACCACAUUCUAAAUUUUUACUAAUGUAUUCUAAACUCUCUUUAAUGGUACGUAGACAUCUCUCUGUUUUUUUUUAAGAAUUAAUUUAUUAAAACUUUAUAUACUGCUUAAAUCAGUGGACUAACCAAUAUAAUAUAUAUAUUUAUAGAGAAAUGGACACAACAAAUAUUUCAAAACUCUUUAACCAUCAUCUUAUUUCAGUCCAGGAUGCACUUAUGUAAUAAAACAAGACUGUCAUAUUUUUUGAUUUUUUCUCAAAAUCUGAAGGUUAACCCCUACGAAAUUGAGUUUUAGGUAAAUGUUAUAUAUAAUGAAGUUUACACUCUUUAGUGUUGUUUGAAAAGUUCUAACCACAUUAUACAUUUGUAUUAAUGCAUUUCAAGCUCUCUUUCAUGGUACAUGAGUAUAGUAUCUAACUUUAACAAUUAAUUUAAUAAGACUUCAUAUAUUGACUUAAUUAGUGGACUAACCAUUAUGAAAUUUCUACUCUCUAUAGAACUGAACACAAAAAAAUUUUCAAACCUCUUUGACCAUCAUCUUAUAUCAGUGCAGGAUGUAACUAUUCAAUAAAGCAAGAUUGACAUAUUUUGAUUUUUUCCCCAAAAUCUGAAAGUUUACCGCCUAGGAAAUUGAGUUUUUCUGUAAAUACUUUAUAUAAUGAAAUUUACACUCUUUAGUGGUGUUUAAAAAUUUAUAACCACAUUAUACAUUUGUAUUAAUGUAUACUAAACUUUCUUUCAUGGUAUAUUAGUAUUGUCUCUAAUUGUUAACUGUUAAUUUGCAUAUUGCAUAUUCUUUAAAAUGAUUAACAAUAGUGGUGUUUAAAAUGUCAUAUAUUGCAUAAAUAAGUGGAUUAACCACAAUGAAAUCUCUAUUCUCCAGAGAAACAUACAAAAAAAAAAUUCCAAACCUCUUUUAAAAUCAUUAUACGCCAGUGAAGGAUGCAACAAUGCAAUAAAGAAAGAUUAUCAUAUUUUUGUUUUUUUCUCAAAAUCUGAAGGUUAACCCCUAUGAACUUAAGUUUUUCAGUAAGUGCUCUUUAUAUUGAUGUCUACACUCUUUAGUGUUACUUAAAAUUUUCUAGACACAUUCUACAUUUGUAAUAAUGUAUGCUAAAUCUAUUUCAUGGUACGUAUACAUCUCUCUAAGUCUUUAACAAUUAAUUUAAGAAAAAUCUAUAUACUGUUUAAAUCAUUGGAAUAACCACUAUAAAUAUCUAUUCUUUAGAGAAACAAACACAAAAAAAUAUUUCAAACAUUUUUUACCAUUAUCCUAUGUCAGUGCAGGAUGCAAUUAUGCAAUAAAACAAGAUUGUCAUAAGUUUUGAAUAUUUUUCAAAAUCUGAAGGUUACACCCAUACGAAAUUUGAUUUUCGGGAAAUGCUCUAUAUAAUAAAGUUUUCUCUGUUUAGUAUUGUUUAAAAUUAUCUAACCACAUUAUAAAUUUGUACUAAUGUAUUAUAAACUCUCUUUCAUGGUACAUGAGUAUUGUCUUUAAUUUGUUUAACUUUUAAUUUAAUAAAACUUCAUAUAUUGUCUAAAUCAAUGGACUAACAUGAAAUAUCUAUUCUCUAGAGAAACGGACACAAUAAAAAUUCCAAACCUCUUUGACCAUCAUCAUAUGUCACUUUAGGAUGCAACUAUUCCAUAAAGCAAGAUUUUCAUAUUUUUAAUUUUUUAAUCAAAAUCUGAAGGUUAAUCCCCUACAAGAUUUAGUUUUUCGGUAAGUGCUCUAUAUAUUGAAGUUUACACUCUUUAGUGUUGUUUAAAAGUUUAUAACUGCAUUAUACAUUAAUUUAUGCUAAACUUUCUUUCAUGGUACAUAUGAAGUUUACACUAAGAUAUUUUAAUUAUUAUAUUUAAUUAAACUUUUUAUAAUGGAACUAAUGGGUUUCUAGCUUGAGCUAAAUGUUGUUUCAAUUUUUCAGUAUUAUUUGAUCUACAUAUUUGAGGUAACAGUCAAGCUCAAGGCAGCCUAUAACUCAAGAGUCUCGGCCAUUGGAAACAAAGUACAUUGCACUAAACUAUUAGAAAGAAAAAAAGAAAGAAAGCCAGUGCUGUUUAUGUUGCUUUUCACUAUCCAUUUAAGUAGUUCAUGUGGAUGCCAGUCUACCCUGAGGCCAUCUGUUCCUACAGUGUUCUUCUCCACAGGUAAGAUACAAAGGAACCGUAUAUAUACCACCAUUGGCGAACCUAAGUAGAAGAUUAUGGGUGCACUUGCCCCCAUAAUAAUUUUAAAAUUUAGUAUAUUUCUUAGACUACUUAUAGGCUUAGAAAGUUGAAAACAGUUUGGGCUGCGUACGAAUUUAAAUGUUGACAAAAUAAUCGAUUGGGUUGUCAAAUUAGUGAAAGAGAUUUAUGGCAAGAAAAAUAAUGAAGUACUAGAUUUUUCACCCGCACAUCCGUGCGGGUAGAUUUUUAUUUUAUAAUAUAUAACGGAUACCAUCGCGAAAGGUUAAAAGAUAUUUACAUUUUAGUGUUAUAUAUUGUGUAAAUCUAUAAUGUUAUUGUUUAGUUUCUUAUUCGAUAUUAUUAAUGUAUAAUAAUUUGUUUUAUAUAUUUUACUUUAUUAUUAAUUGUUAUAAUAUAUUAAUAUAUUUUUGAGUUUGGUAAAAUAAAUUCAUAGUAUGAAAUAAAAAAAUUGAGAAUCUCCUUCAUUUUUUUCUAAUUUUUACAGACUGAAUACAAUAUAUUUUAAAAUUUUAUUUAGUUAUACUAUAAAACUGAUAUUUUCUUAGAAUAAUUUAUAUUUCUAUGUUAUUAUUUUCGCAUAUUUUGAGAUUUUAUAAGUAAAUACAUUAUAAUAAACUAUAUUAUUAAUUAUGAAAUCAAUCGCUGCAUUAAUUUAAAAAUAUUUUAAAAUUUUAUUAAGAUUUUGUUAGGUUUUAACAUAUUUUGUUAUAAGUAAAAAUAAAAUUUAAAUUUACAGUUAAAAUUUAUUUAUUAAUAUCUAUAUAAUUUAUAAGAUUUUUUAGAAAUGUUAUAUAUUAAAUAGAUUAACUUAAAUAGUCAAAUAGAUGUAAUUGAUGAAAUAGACCUAGUAUGAUUUUUUAUGGUAUUUCUUUUAAUAAAGAAAAUAUAGAAUAUAAUUAUAAAAUUUGAAAAAUAGCAUACACUUUUAUUUUAUUUUUUUUCAUAAUAAAAGUUUAUUUAAAUUAAUGUAUAAUAGUAUAUAUUAUUAAUUACGAAAUUAAUCAAUGGUAUUAAUUUAAAUAAAAUAUUCUAAAUUUUUAGAAAGAUUUUGUUAGAUUUUUCUCAAUAUUUUGUUAUGACUAAAAAUAAAAUUUAAAUUUACAGUUAAAAUUGAUUUAUUAUUAAUAUCUUUAUAUAUUGAAUAUAUUAAUAUAAAUAAUUAAAUAAAUAUAAUUAGUAAAAAUAAGGUUAGUAUGAUUUUUUAUGGUAGAUAAAAAUGGUACUUCUCUUUUAAUAGAGAAGAUUUUUUUUUUUUAAUAAAAUGUAAUUACUUGAUUAUUUUUAAUGAAGUGGAUAGGCGAGGAAGACUUAAAUAAGGGCUUUUAUAUAGUGUAACUACGUCACCAAUAUAUUCCAGCAUGAUUCAUGAGAACAAAGAACCAUAUCUUAUUUUUGGAACCGGCCAAAGAUCAUAUUAAUCCCCUUAACGAUUCUCCCUUUUAUAUAAUCGGAUUCAACUAUAUUACUUUUAGCUUAGGAUGGUUAUGAUGAUAAUUUUCUUAAAUUAAUUGAUUUUUAUAAUGAAAGCAAGGUUCCAUGCCUAUUUAUGGAUACAUUAUUGUGGCCUCACACUUGUGCACAUAUUAUAUAAACAAAGAAACAUGCAUUUAUAAGUUCAAAAAAAAAAAGAAACAUGCAUAUAUAUCAUUUUAUCAUGUUCUUUUUAUAGUUUCCUAAGAAUUAUGGUGUCUAUCUAAGAUGAUUUUACCAUGUCUUUUUUCUUUUCUUUUAUGAGUGUUCAAAAUCCCACCUAAGAUAUAUAAAAAAAAACUUGUCAUUUUCGAUAUAUAUAGCAUUAGCUUAUAUGUACACGGCCUCCCUCUACUAACCUUCUUUAAUUUUCAUCGACAUUUUGAUAACAAACGUUAAAAAGCAUAAUCACUAGUGUACUUAACCAUGUAUGUAUGCAUCUAAACAGGAAAAAAAAACAUCCAUAAUCUAUCUGCAUGGACAUCAACAUUUUUGCACAAUCUUUUGACGUAUGUUGUCUUUGUGGUGUAAGCUUCCAACUUUCCAUAUUAUUAUGAACAAAUGAUAUAUUUCAGAAGAGCCAUGUCACUACUAACGACCGGGACAAUAUGGCAUGGGAUCCGCUUAAAUCCAAACAAACGUUGAACAACUACAGUUGAUGUUGUCACCAUCUGAUAUGAAUGUCAGCAUAUUAAACUUUAGAGGGAACAAAAGAGGGUGUCAACUUAAAGAUAAACAAUUCCAUAACAGAAUGAAACGUUAACUUAAAACUUUUGUUAGCCCCAUCCAUCGUGGGUUCACCCUAAUGGACGGUUAUGAUUAACGGAUGGAGGUGGACUUUGAUGAUAGUGACUGGUGAAAUGAUAUCUCGGUGUGAAAACUUGUAAAAACGCAUCUUUUUAUGAUAAACAAAGUAGCAAAAGGGUAAUACAUUGGAGAUGCUUUAAUUAUUAAAUUACUUAUUUUAUGUUAUUUUUAUUUUUAUUUUUAUUUUUAUUAUUUAUGUUUUCUGUUAUUUUAUGCAUUUAUUUAAAAUUAUUAAAUAAUUCUUUGUGGAAUAUACUAUUUUCAUGUUAUUGUAUCAUUUUAAAUAUUAUUUAAGUAAGAAAUAAAAACAUUAAAGAUUCAAAGGACCAUUUUAUAAAUAAAAAAAGUUCAACUCCAAAAUGGAGUGGGGUUAGGAAAAGAUUUUAUUCCAUAGUGAUGUUUGGAGUUGAAAAUGAAGUGGAGUUGGAAAUGCCCUACGAGUAUCAACAUCGCAGUUUCUAGCGUGGAGAUGCUUAAAAAGUAAUGAUGGUGGCCCCACCAAAUAAAUAAAAUCGGUCACAGAAGUAGCCAAAAAAGGAUCGGUGUUUUGUUGUUUCUGGUACUGUUUGCAGGCCCCACUGACACGUGACUGUCCGCGAUUGGUUACCUUUUUAUUUUAUUUUUUUAAUCAGAAAAAACAAAAAAAAAAAUUAAGAAACCCAAAAAACGAUUUAGGGAAAAUCAUGGCCUAAGGAUUUGAUUUGCUGAGCUUUUUAACUAUUCACGGACCGUAUUGACACGUAGCAAUCCGCGAUUGAUUAGUUUUUUUUUAAUCCGAAAAAAAUAAAUAGUCAUAACUACUAUUUCUAAGAAUUUGUGCCUUGAGUAUCACCAUAUCUGAUGCCCUAAUAUCUUGUUAAACUAGCUCUAUGUUCAUGACAACUUCAAACCCCAAUAAAAAAACUACAGUAUAUAAUUUUUUGGUAAUUCAAAUGAAAAUGAUAGGCAAUAAAUAAUAUAAUCACAUACUUAUAUAUACAUGUAAAAGGUCUAUAAAUACAUACAUUCAGAACGUACGGCAACAACUCUUCGAACACUCAUACAUAAUCACUUUGGCGCGCCGCUUUCUUCCUUUCUCCAUCCUCAACCACCUCUUUUCUCUUUAUAAAAAUCAACGGUUCUCCAAAUUUCUCAGUGGUUCGAGACAUAUCAUAAAAGAAUGUUGCAGCACCAAGAACUCGCUCUUCAAAGAAGCUUCAGCUGCAACACAAGAAAGAUCAGCCCAGAGACCUCUCCGGCGCGUAGGUUACACGCCCGUUCUCGUUCUUCCUCCUCCUCCUUGAUCCCACCCAUCCCUGAGCAUGAACUCUUCCUCGUACCUUUCCAGAGCUUCACCUCCUCCUCUAAAAACACAGUGAAAGUCAACGUGAAGCUUUCUUUCUUCUCACGUGCUAUCAUCAACCUCGUUAACCUACCGCCAUCUCCUUCCUCCUCCGGUGUUUCUAACCAGCUGAUCACCGGAAAAUCCUCUUCCCUCGGGAGAAGGGUCACCGGGACUUUGUACGGACACAGAAGAGGCCACGUCACGUUUUCAGUCCAGGACGGUCCGAGAGCCGAACCAGUGUUUCUCUUAGACCUAGCCAUGUCAACGGAAACUCUAGGCAAAGAGAUGUCGUCGGGGCUCGUCAGGAUCGCGUUGGAGUGCGAGAGGCGUCACCGUUCGGGGACGACUAAGCUUUUCCACGAGCCCAAGUGGACCAUGUAUUGCAACGGCAGGAAGUACGGUUCCGCGGUGUCGCGUGGCGGAGCGUGCACCGAGUUGGAUUUGCGCGUGCUGAAUACCGUGUCGAGUGUAACGGUUGGAGCCGGAGUUAUUCCGACGGCGAGUGACGUGUCCGGUGGUGGAACGGAGCUUGGGGAGUUGUUGUAUAUGAGAGGUAGGUUUGAACGAGUCGUGGGGGGUCGUGACUCUGAGGCGUUUUACAUGAUGAACCCUGACGAAAACGAAGGUCCUGAACUCAGUAUUUUUCUUCUUAGAUUAUGAAAAAAAUGGUUUUUUCUUAAGAGAGAGUUACUUGACUUUUAAAAAUAUUUGAAAAUGUCUUAAUUAGCUUGUUAUUAUAAAGUGAAUGAUUGCAAUGUUAUUAUAUAGGUUAGUUUCUAAUCUCUUGCUUAUCAGAUGUGGUGUUUUUGUUGUUGUUAUUUUUAAUUACAGCAAUUUUCUGUAUUUUGGUUUUUGUUAAAUUGAAGAAAUAAAGAGACUAAUGGGUUUCUAGCUUUGAGCUAAAUGUGUUUCGAAUUUUCAGUAUGCAUUAUUUAGUCAGUAGAUUAGAUGUAUCAGUCAAACUCAAAUAAGGCUGGAAGUCUAUAACCCAGAGUCUCAUCCAUUGUAUUAGACUAUGGGAAAAAGUCAGAGCUGUUUCUGUUACUUUUUUGUUGUUGUAAACUAUUCUGUUACUUUUUCACUGUCCGUUUUAAGUAGUUCAUGUGAAUGUCAAUCUACUCUAUAGCCAAAUCUUUAGAUGUUCCAAAUGUGUUCUUCUCUCCACAGAUAGAUACACGGGAAUGCUAUACCAUGAGUUUUAGCCAUACGAUUAUGACUAUCCCUUUCUUUAUAACUUCACAACAUUUCAACAAAAAAAAAUGUGUUUGUGAUCGUAGAGUAUAUAUGAUUGCUGGGAGAUGGAACAAGGAGAUAAUGUUUCACGACACAUUGUUUCAAGGAUGCAACUAUUUGACUGCGUACUGAAGACAAAUUAAAUGUAGUAUGCAAUUAGGAUAAAUGUUAAUGACCAACCUAAUACGUUGUCCUAUUAUUCUCCUGUUAUUUUUAGUCAAAGUUGUCGAGGAAAAACAAAACAAAACUGAUAUAUGGGCCACGAAAUAUUUUAGGUUAGGCCGAAUAAUAACUAGAACCGGCUCUGUUGAUUGUAGAGAUUAAAGGCUUUCUUUGGGUCAGUGAGGGAUCCACAGUCCGAACACAAACAUGAAACAUGGAGCUGCAAUGACUCACUUCCUUUUCUUGAAACCUAAAAGUGUUUUUAUUCAGAUAGUUCCCUUAGGGACUGAUUGGGCGGCCGAGACGUACUAUGGCGAGCCAGCAAAGAAGCUAGGGUUGAAGUAUAUUGGUUACAAGAUUAUGCCGCAAGAAAGCUCUUUAUACGAUGAGUAUGG